GUCGGGAACCAGGACUUUUACUUGAAAAAAUUAGAGUGUCAAAGCAGGCCUAUGCUCGAAUACAUUAGCAUGGAAUAAUAGAAUAGGACGUGUGGUUCUAUUUUGUUGGUUUCUAGGACCGCCGUAAUGAUUAAUAGGGAUAGUCGGGGGCAUCAGUAUUCAAUUGUCAGAGGUGAAAUUCUUGGAUUUAUUGAAGACUAACUACUGCGAAAGCAUUUGCCAAGGAUGUUUUCAUUAAUCAGUGAACGAAAGUUAGGGGAUCGAAGACGAUCAGAUACCGUCGUAGUCUUAACCAUAAACUAUGCCGACUAGGGAUCGGGCGAUGUUAUCUUUUUGACUCGCUC
rnacentral:rRNA from 1 species